GCAUUGGUGGUAUAGUGGUGAGCAUAGCUGCCUUCCAACCAGUUGACCCGGGUUUGGUUCCCGGCCAACGUA
rfam:Tupaia chinensis contig16808, whole genome shotgun sequence.